rnacentral:rRNA from 1 species
GACGAACGCUGGCGGCGCGCUUAACACAUGCAAGUCGAGCGAAGCGGCGGACGGGUGAGUAAAACGUGAGUAACCUGCCUUAGACAUUGGGAUAGCCUCGGGAAACCGGGAUUAAUACCAAAUGGUCUAAGAUGGACUCGCGUCCCAUUAGCUAGUUGGUGGGUAACGGCCCACCAAGGCGACGAUGGGUAGCCGGGCGGAUAGGGUGAACGGCCACAUUGGAACUGAGAAACUGUCGAAACUCUACGGGAGGAAGCAGUGGGGAAUAUUGCACAAUGGAGGGAACUCUGAUGCAGCGACGCCGGGUGAACGAAGAAGGCUUUCGGGACGUAAAGUUAUUUUAUAUGGGAAGCGGUACCAUAAGAAAAAGCCCCGGCUAACUACGUGCCAGCAGCCGCGGUAAUAC